rnacentral:rRNA from 1 species
AUUGAACGCUGGCGGAAUGCUUUACACAUGCAAGUCGAACGGCAGCACGAGGGCAACCUUGGUGGCGAGUGGCGAACGGGUGAGUAACACAUCGAAACGUGCCCAGUCGUGGGGGAUAACGUAGCGAAAGCUACGCUAAUACCGCAUACGAUCUGAGGAUGAAAGCGGGGGACCUGCGAGGGCCUCGCGCGAUUGGAGCGGUCGAUGGCAGAUUAGGUAGUUGGUGGGGUAAAGGCUCACCAAGCCGACGAUCUGUAGCUGGACUGAGAGGACGACCAGCCACACUGGAACUGAGACACGGUCCAGACUCCUACGGGAGGCAGCAGUGGGGAAUUUUGGACAAUGGACGCAAGUCUGAUCCAGCCAUUCCGCGUGCAGGACGAAGGCCUUCGGGUUGUAAACUGCUUUUGUACAGAACGAAACGGCUCUUUUUAAUACGAGGGGCUCAUGACGGUACUGUAAGAAUAAGCACCGGCUAACUACGUGCCAGCAGCCGCGGUAA